rnacentral:rRNA from 1 species
UAAAAAAAGGUAAGCUACUAAGAGCGAAUGGUGGAUGCCUUGACUGGUAAAGGCGAUGAAGGACGUACUAGACUGCGAUAAGCUACGGGGAGCUGUCAAGAAGCUUUGAUCCGUAGAUUUCCGAAUGGGGCAACCCAAUGUAUAGAGAUAUACAUUACCUAUAUAGGAGCGAACGAGGGGAAUUGAAACAUCUUAGUACCCUCAGGAAAAGAAAUCAAUAGAGAUUGCGUCAGUAGCGGCGAGCGAAAGCGCAAGAGGGCAAACCCAGUGCUUGCACUGGGGGUUGUAGGACUGCAAUGUGCAAGAGGUAAGUUUAGCAGAACAUUCUGGAAAGUAUAGCCAUAGAGGGUGAUAGUCCCGUAUGCGAAAAACAAACCUUAGCUAGCAGUAUCCUGAGUAGGGCGGGACACGAGGAAUCCUGUCUGAAUCUGGGUCGACCACGAUCCAACCCUAAAUACUAAUACCAGAUCGAUAGUGUACAAGUACCGUGAGGGAAAGGUGAAAAGAACUGAGGUGAUCAGAGUGAAAUAGAACCUGAAACCAUUUGCUUACAAUCAUUCAGAGCCCUAUGUAGCAAUACAGGGUGAUGGACUGCCUUUUGCAUAAUGAGCCUGCGAGUUGUGGUGUCUGGCAAGGUUAAGCAAACGCGAAGCCGUAGCGAAAGCGAGUCUGAAUAGGGCGCUUAGUCAGAUGCUGCAGACCCGAAACGAAGUGAUCUAUCCAUGAGCAAGUUGAAGCUAGUGUAAGAACUAGUGGAGGACUGAACCCAUAGGCGUUGAAAAGCCCCGGGAUGACUUGUGGAUAGGGGUGAAAGGCCAAUCAAACUUCGUGAUAGCUGGUUCUCUCCGAAAUAUAUUUAGGUAUAGCGUUGUGUCGUAAUAUAAGGGGGUAGAGCACUGAAUGGGCUAGGGCAUACACCAAUGUACCAAACCCUAUCAAACUCCGAAUACCUUAUAUGUAAUCACAGCAGUCAGGCGGCGAGUGAUAAAAUCCGUCGUCAAGAGGGAAACAACCCAGACUACCAGCUAAGGUCCCUAAAUCUUACUUAAGUGGAAAACGAUGUGAAGUUACUUAAACAACCAGGAGGUUGGCUUAGAAGCAGCCAUCCUUUAAAGAAAGCGUAAUAGCUCACUGGUCUAGUGAUUUUGCGCGGAAAAUAUAACGGGGCUAAAGUAAGUACCGAAGCUGUAGACUUGCACACAACUUAGAUUAUUUAAGUUUAGAAUAUAAAAAACUAAGUUAUAUGUUUUAAGUUAUAUUUUUACUGAUUUUUAUAGGGUAAAGAUAGAAAUAAAACUUAGUAAAAUCAGUAAAAAUAUUCUUAGGCUAAAGUUAAGUAGUUUAAGUUGUGUGCAAGUGGUAGGAGAGCGUUCUAUUUGCGUCGAAGGUAUACCGGUAAGGAGUGCUGGAGCGAAUAGAAGUGAGCAUGCAGGCAUGAGUAGCGAUAAUUAAUGUGAGAAUCAUUAACGCCGUAAACCCAAGGUUUCCUACGCGAUGCUCGUCAUCGUAGGGUUAGUCGGGUCCUAAGCCGAGUCCGAAAGGGGUAG